rnacentral:sRNA from 1 species
CUUGGUCAUUUAGAGGAAGUAAAAGUCGUAACAAGGUCUCCGUUGGUGAACCAGCGGAGGGAUCAUUACCGAGUACUAUAACUCAUAACCCUUUGUGAACCUUUAUACCUGUUGCUUCGGCGGCGCGCCUCCCGGGGCGUGCCCGCCGGCAUUAUCAGAAUCUCUGUUCGAACCCGACGAUACAUCUGAGUGUUCUAAGCGAACUGUUAAAACUUUCAACAACGGAUCUCUUGGCUCCAGCAUCGAUGAAGAACGCAGCGAAACGCGAUAUGUAAUGUGAAUUGCAGAAUUCAGUGAAUCAUCGAAUCUUUGAACGCACAUGGCGCCUUCCAGUAUCCUGGGAGGCAUGCCUGUCCGAGCGUCGUUUCAACCCUCGAGCCCCCGUGGCCCGGCGUUGGGGAUCUGCCCAGGCAGUCCCCGAAAACCAGUGGCGGACCCGUUGGGCCCUUCCUUUGCGUAGUAACAUCUGCCUCGCAUCGGGAGCCUGCGGGCUAUCCGGCCUCUAAACCCCCCUCAAGCCCGCUCCGGCGGCACCAAGGUUGACCUCGGAUCAGGUAGGAAUACCCGCUGAACUUAAGCAUAUCAAUAAGCGGAGGAAAAGAAACCAACAGGGAUUGCCUCAGUAGCGGCGAGUGAAGCGGCAACAGCUCAAAUUUGAAAUCUGGCUCCUUCGGGGCCCGAGUUGUAAUUUGCAGAGGAUGCUUCGGGUACGGGUUCCUUCCGAGUUCCCUGGAACGGGACGCCAUAGAGGGUGAGAGCCCCGUCUGGUAGGACACCCAGCCCGUGUGAAGCUCCCUCGACGAGUCGAGUUGUUUGGGAAU